rnacentral:lncRNA from 1 species
GGGGAAGUAGUGAUUUAGGUUUUUUAGCCCAAACCAUCGACCUAUCCUAAUCUAGUUGAGUUUUCGACCCGUUUUCACCUGUCCUAACUCUAUGUUUUCGAGCCUUUUAGCUCGAGUUUCGCUUCACAUGUAUUAAGUACAACUUUGGCUUCGAGGCCCAAAUGAAUAAGAUAAAGAAAAUAAAAUAAAAUAAAUAAGGACAACAAUAAGUGAAUAGACAAAAUAACAAAUGAGACUUUUGGGUCUCGUAGCUGCUUCAAAUGUGGGAUUUCAACCCCUCCUUCUUUUGACUCCUCGUGUCCGCGCACUAGGUUUCUUUUUGGAUUUUGCAAGUCUUAUAAAAAGGAUUUUGCAAGUCUUAUAAAAAGGAUUGGGAUUCAUUACAUAUUGCAGGGGUAAGAGUGCAUUUGGAUUCCCAAAUGGGUUCAUGCAAAAGAAAAGAAAACGAGGGAAUUAACGCACUUGUUUGAGGAUUUUAUAUUCAUAGAUAACUUAUGAGAUAAAACAUGAGAUAGAAUUAAAUAAAAAAAAUAUGUAGGCAAUAGGCAUGUAAUAUUCCAUAAAUAGAUAAGGUAUGAAGAAGAGUAUAGAGACGAAUCACUUUUUCAACCAAAAUAUAGCAAGUACAGAGUCCAUCAGUAAUGAUUAGGCCAAUACUUUUUUAAGAAAAAUGAUUAUGAACCAUUCCCAUUACACAAGAAACAAGAUACAGAACAACUAAAAACAAAGAAAGUGACAAGAGGUCAUCUUUAAACAGAUAAGCUGCCACUUUUAAUAAACUAAUCAGUGACGGGAAGCUAAAACAAAACAAUGUCAAAUUUAAACGGCAUUUGUACAGGGAUCUAUUGUGCAGCUAUCAAGACAGUAAAAUUUUCAUAUCUAAGAGGUAAAGUUAACAUAUCUAGUAGAGCAAGUGAAGGAAUGAAGCAAAACAUAGCUACACAAAUAAUCUCAUCCGUAAGAAUAACACUAUUCAGAGUUAACCCACUGAAAGAAAGCACAGUUUAUGACCCCUAAGGAUAUACCAAUCCCCCGCCCUUAUCUUCUCUUUGACCAAUUCGGAAUGAACUCACAAAUGUCAAAGAGAAGGCCACUGCUGGUUCAUUGAACUGGUGUCUUGAAUUUUGAACAUACACCCACUAUCUCCAUUGACUCUAGAGGCUGCAAGAGUUAGCAGCAGACAUGUACGAUCCAUCUAAACCAUAAAUUUUGAAAUAAAGUACAUGCUAAAUAAACUAUCUUGUUUGAGCAGGAUCCAAUAGUCAUUCAAUAAAUAUUCGUAAGUUACAAAUAUUAGGCUGAAAUCAUGUGAUAGGUUGAAUCGAAUAGCAAUAAAACUUGAACAAAAUAAGAAGCGCAAACCACUGGGAACGUUUAGCUAAUCGGGAAAAGGGGAAAGGAAAGAACCAAUCCAUCUUGAAUAAACAUCAUUCACAGGUGAAAAAAGAAAACUAAAUUGCAACUCCAAAGAAUAUCAAUGGAUUUUAUAACAUCUAUGCAAGAUGAACAUCAACAUCAAAAUCGAUAUUACGACAUUAAGAAAACAAUAACACGUCGAUAGAGAUCUUUUAAAUAAAACAAAGAAUCUAUGUGACAUAUUAGCAUUUAAAUCUCGUUGAGCAAAAACGACACUAAAUUAGCAUUCUAACCCUUGCCAUGAACAUGGUUGAGUCAAACAAUGAACUCAACCAUCAACAACAGGAAAGUGGGACGUCCACAACACAAUAUACGCUGACGGAGAAGUAAAUGGCGGACUAAAAAACUUAAUACUAAAUGAGGAACUCCUGACAGACGAGAAUAACUACGGGAUCAACCAUGGAACCGAUUUUCACAUCAUACCAGCAGAAUAACAAUACCAAAACAAAUUCAAAACAAUUUUAACGGCCUUCAUAGCCUCUAUGAUACACAGUCCCAGCCUCAUUCAACAUACACAAAUGACCAUUUUCUACGAAGAAAGAGGGGUGAAGCAGGAAAUAUCAAAAUGAAGCAGAAAGAGAGACGAGCGUUCGUUUACCUCUUUCGGGACAGCAAACGGGACGACGAGCUAUCAGCAAACUUAUCGCUACUAGAAUCUCACGAUGUUGACCACCAACAGAGCAUCCUUAGAGAUUUUGCAACCCCCCAGAUUUUCAAACUAAAUAUCUUCAACCGUUAGCUUUUUUGAAAGUAUUUCGAACCCACUUUGCUUCUAAAACUUCCAACUCAAAAGGGAAAGAAGAUGAGAGAAUAAAAUUCCCAAAUUUUCUCUGCAGAGAACCUAACCCCCAGAUUUUUCCCCCAACUAAAAAAAAUCCCCCUGUUUCCUACCCUAGAAUUUUUUGCCCUAAUUCUCGAACCCUGACUUUUUUCCUCAGAAUUUCUAACCCUAAUUUUGACUUCC